rnacentral:rRNA from 1 species
UACGGAGGGAGCUAGCGUUGUUCGGAAUUACUGGGCGUAAAGCGCACGUAGGCGGCUUUGUAAGUUAGAGGUGAAAGCCUGGAGCUCAACUCCAGAAUUGCCUUUAAGACUGCAUCGCUUGAAUCAUGGAGAGGCGGGUGGAAUUCCGAGUGUAGAGGUGAAAUUCGUAGAUAUUCGGAAGAACACCAGUGGCGAAGGCGGCCCGCCGGACAUGUAUUGACGCUGAGGUGCGAAAGCGUGGGGAGCAAACAGG